GAACUCAGGGCCUGGGCCAUGCCAGACAAGUGCUCACCGCUGAGCUGCACCCCAGCCCCUGUGUGUCUGGCACAUCCACAGGCCUGGCAUGGGGCGGCAGAGGGAAGAACCUGGAAAAAAACCUUCUAUGCUGAAAAGCGCAUGCGCCGAACUCCGCGGUCAGUCCCAGCCCCACCACCAUCGUUCUGUCACCUGAAUGAUGUCAUCAUUCUAGGGACCAGAGAAGAUCAGUUGGGAGGGUUGGCUCUUCGGUUGAGGGUCUCUCUGCUAUAUAAUCCAGGAUGGCCUCAUACGCGUGAUCCUCCUGCUUCAGCCUCCCAAUAGCUGUGAUUACAGUUGAAGAAACAGAAGCUCAGAGAUGUGAAGCCACUUGUGUGAGGACACCUAGCUGUGAAGGGGAGGAUCUGGAAUUUGAACUCGUGCUUUUACAUGUCAUAGAUGCUACUUCUCACAGGGGACCGAAGGCAGCCAACUGGCCGAGGGCCUGGCCAUUGAUUUCUGUUCCCUUGGUCUCAGUCUCCCCAUCUGUUCAAGGGAAGAGUUACCGCUGCUCCUUAAAUUCCCUAAACCUGACUCACUGGGCUCUUAAGAUUGUCAGAUGAAAGAAAUACCACUACGGGACACCCGAAAAGUAAAUUUCAAUUUCCCAUAAACAGUGAAUGAUUCUUCAGUGUCCGUAUGCCC
rnacentral:lncRNA from 1 species